GUAAACACACAUUUUUGGCAUCAGAAAUAGUUCGCCCGCUUCUGAUUAGCUAGUUGGUAGUAAUGGCCUAUCAAGGCGACAAUCAGUAGCCUCGUCUGAGAAGAAGAUCAGUCACAUUGGUACUGAGACACAGCCCAGAGUACUACGCGACGCAGCAGUCAGGCAUGAUGCACAAUGGCGGCAUGCAUGAUCAAGCCAUGCCGCUUGAGAGAUGAAUGCCCUAGGGGUGUAAUGCUCUUUUUUAUAGCAUCAUCAUGACGGUAUCGCAAGAAUAAGCCCAGGCUAAUUUUGUGCCAGCAGCCGCGGUAAUAAUAAGGGGGCGAGAGUUGUUCUGAAUCUCUGGGCGUAAAGAGUGCGUGCACGGGUUUUUAAGUCUGGGAUGAAAUCUCGGAGCUCUACUCCAGAACUGCGUUUUAUAAUGAAGAUCUUGAGUCUGGGAGAGGUGAGUAGAGAUUCGAGGGUGGAGGGGAAAUUCGUAGAUAUUUGCAAGAACACCAGUGGGGAAAGCGGCUCCCUGUCCCCAUACUGACACUGAGACAUGAAAAAGUGGGGAGCAAACACGAUUAGAUACCCUGGUAGUGCACACCCUAAAAGAUGAAUGCCAGCCGUUAGUGGGUCUACUCACUAUUGGCGCAGCUAACGCUUUAAGCAGUCCGCCUCGGGAGGAGGGUCGCAAGAAUAAAACUCAAAAAAAUAAUCGGGGGGCCGCCCCACCGGUGGAGCAUCUGGUUUAAUUAGACGCAACGCGCAGAACCUCACCACCCCUUGACAUCUCCCGGACCGGUUGCAGAGAUGUGACCCUUUCUUUGGAGCACUGGAGCACAGGUGGUGCAUGGCCGUUGUCAGCUCGUGUCUUGAGAUGUUGGGUUAAAUCCCGCAACGAGCGCCACCCCCGUCCUUAGUUGCUACCAUUUAGUUCAGCACUCUAAAGGGAGUCCCCCAGAUAUAAGCCGCGAGGAAGGGGGGGAUGACGUCAAGUCCUCCUGGCCCCUUCGGGGUAGGGUACCCCCGUGGUACAAAGGGGGCGACAAAAGGAAAGUAAGGGGCGACCCUCAGCAAAUCUCAAAAAGCCGUCUCAGUUUGGAUUGGGCUCUGCAACUCGAGCCCAUGAAGUUGGAAUCGCUAGUAAUAAUGGAUCAGCACACCACGGUGAAUACGUUCCCGGGCCUCGUACACACCGCCCGUCACCCCACCGGAGUAGGGGGUACCAGAAGACGGUGCGCUAACCCGCAACGGAGGCAGCC
rnacentral:rRNA from 1 species